GAGAUCUUUGUGUACCUGAGGCCUUCUGAGGUGGAACAAUGAGGAAUAAUUCAUUUAUGGAGGCAGUAGUGGCUUUAUUUGAGUGCUCCCAGUCCAGCUCUUCAAUAUUUCAGUUACAGAAUGCUCCUCAGUGAAUAAUGCAGCAGAGUUGUGAAGAGAGAAGACUGAAACACAAGGACGUGUAAAUGCCACAGUGAAUGUGUAUCAUGCAUUACAUUGAGGGAAAUUAAAAGGUUAACAACAAUCUCUGUUUACCAAAACAAUGUACUUUCAAAUUUUUAAGUGUUUUGCCAGCAAAGGGAAUACAAUGUUUGGGGAAAUGUGGGGGGGAAAAAAUAAAAACCUCUGACAUCUGUUAUGUUUUUUGCUCAUGAAAUAAACCCAGAAAGAUGAAAAGGGUUUGACAAUGAUUGCUGGAUGUGCUAUGCUGUGGCUCAACCUCAAGGGCACAAUAAACUUAGAACAAGUGCUUAGAAACAGAUCAAAGAUCCAAUGAAUUAUUUUGCAUUUUUAACCUUUGACCAAAACACCAUAUCCUGAAUACUGUUGCUGUUAAUUGGAGAGCUUAAAAGAUAAGUAGCAUACAGGGACAACCAUUGCCAUAGGAAAGUAAAACUGUGUGAUUAAUUAUGGCAUAUUCCCUUGUCUAUUCAAUAUGUUUAUGUAAAACUUUUUUAUUCUUUCAGCAAUAAUAUUAGAACUUUUCCCCUAAUGAGUAAUGUUUAACUUCAUACAUAUGCAAAUAAAAAGGUGAGAAUGUGCAUAAAUGUCAAUGUGAGCUAUGUUACCCACCUAAAAAGAAAUUAAACAAAGCUCCUCCCUUAGCUUGCACUGGGGGUUGUUCAGAUAUAUUCCUCAUAGCAUAAUGGCAAAAGACAAAUUUUUUUGUAA